GGUCACAUGCCGUUUGGGAGAAUGUGGCAACGUGGUCACCUGAGCAUUUAUUGAUUAGUCCUAUUAGGGGAGAGACUGAUGGGACACCUGAGACAGGACAGAAUGCCCCCUGGUUUUCAAGGAGAAGAUCCCCCUCGGAUGCUGAAGUGGGACCAGUUUUCAUCCUCUGAAACAAAAGUCACUGAGGGUCAGGAAUUAGGCACUGUGUGAAAAUUAUUAGGUAGGGGAAGCAUUAGCAUUAGUAUUCAUGUAUUUGGCAGGACAGAUGGGUUUAUUUUAUUAUGUUUUUUGGUCUACAAUCAUGACCAAACCCACAAACUCUACACUUUACAUAAAAAAGUGUUUGUGUUCUCUCAGUUUUGUUUGCUAUAGAAGUACUGUUUAGAUGUAGUGAGGGGAUCCUAUUGCCAUUGCCUUUAGAGCAGCGGUCCCCAACCCCCGGGCCUCGGACCGGUACUGGUCCGUGAGUCGUUUGGUACCGGGCCGCGAGAGUUGAGGCUCAGGUGUGAAAUGUAUGGUUUUCAGGGUUUUUAUCGGUUUUCAGCGUUAUUUUGUUAUCGUUUUUAUCGUUAACUCGGUUUUCCUGGGUCUUUUCACGUGUGUUAUGAAUAAAUCUUCUUUUUUUCGGUACCGGCACUAGUUUUAUUUUGUUGUAUUCAUCCGCGACACCUUAUUGCCGGUCCGUGAAAAUAUUGUCGGGCAUAAACCGGUCCGUGGCGCAAAAACGGUUGGGGACCGCUGCUUUAGAGGAUAUUAUUUAAAAAAAUAUAUGUUAAAAGUGAGUCUUAGCAUCUGCUAACACUAGUCAUUUUCACACAGUUCCUUACUAAGUAAGCUAUCAUUGUUUGUGAUGGGCACAGAUGGCAGCCAGGGUUUUAUUAUAAUCAAUAAGUAGAUUAAAUGAAGUUUCUCCCUCCUGCAUCAGAUGACCACUCUUGCCUUUCUCCCAGAUGUGCUGUUACAUAUUUGGCCCCUAGAGGGCAUGAAUCAGAUGUUGGAGAAGCAUGUAGAGGAGUCACAAGGCCACAUCCUAAACCCUUUCAGCAGCUUUUCCUUCUUUUCCUGCCCCCAUUUUUUUUUUUUGAGUACUAGGAGAGAUGUAGAGACUUCCUGGAAAAUUAGAUCAAGAAAGCUCAGCAAGGAGGCUGCCCCACGUUUUCCAGCUGGAUUGUGUGUAGCUAUUUACUCAAGUGAAUUUCCUCCAAGCACCACACAGGCACAGUCGCAUCCUUCUUUACCAUGGCAACAAGGCAGGGCAGGAAGUUUGUACGUGGCGUCCACAGUGGCGAGGUCACACACUGAGUAACCUGUGCUGAUGCCUCACAGGAAGUGUGUCCACAGAAGGAAAAGUACCAAGAGCAACCGCUGAGAUUCUGCUUUCUGUGUGGUCUGUAUUGAUGCUUAUUGUUGGCGUAUAUUUUGAUAUAUUUCGGGUGGGGGGGAUGAAAAAUUAUAGUGAAAGGUCUAGAUAUUUUUGGAGUAGAGAAGCAAUGUGUGUAUCAGAUUAUUGUCACUUUGUCUUGCUCUCUGAAAAAUCUCUUGGAACUUUUUUGUUUGUUUGUUUUUCUGAAGAAUUCUAUAACAUCCCAACUGAUUUAAUGUUCGAUUGAGAGAAUAUUUAUAAAUUUUAAGUCCUUUG
ensembl:lncRNA